rnacentral:rRNA from 1 species
UCCUCCUACGGGGCGCAGCAGUGAGGAAUAUUGGUCAAUGGGCGGGAGCCUGAACCAGCCAAGUCGCGUGAGGGAUGACGGUCCUACGGAUUGUAAACCUCUUUUGCCGGGGAGCAAGCGUGCGUUCGUGAACGCGCGUCGAGAGUACCCGGAGAAAAAGCAUCGGCUAACUCCGUGCCAGCAGCCGCGGUAAUACGGAGGAUGCGAGCGUUAUCCGGAUUUAUUGGGCGUAAAGGGAACGCAGGCGGGCUUUUAAGGCUGAUGUGAAAGCCUUCGGCUUAACCGGAGUAGUGCAUUGGAAACUG